AUGGCCACUUAUCACCAAGAAGGGCAGAUGCAGCUGCCCCUAGCUGAUGCCAUUCGUUCAUGUCUCAUCGAUACUUUCUCAUCUAGCAUUUGCAAGGCUUGAGCCAAGCUGUGCCGUGGCACACUAUCAGGGAGUUACUUCAUCCUUCCCACCAGAAGAAACUUAUGUUGGGAGAUCAACACCAGCUAGUGUGCUUCUCCAUAAAGCCUCAACGUAUAGGACAGAUUUCACAUGCCCAGAGGCUGUUGAGCAGGCUUCAUGUGCGCUGCACUCAGAGGCCACCUCUUUCUUUGUGGGCCGGAUGGGUCCUUGAGUGUCCUCUCUUCACAAACUUCGUCAUCUUCCUCAUCUUUUUGAAUAUGAUCGUAUUGAUGGUUGAAAUAGAAUUGCUGGAAUCCACAAAUACCUAACUGUGGCUAUUGAAGCUGAGCUUGGAGGUGGCAACUUGGUUUAUCUUGUUUAUUUUCAUCCUGGAGAUCCUUCUUAUGUGGCUAUCCUAGCUUUUCCUUUUUCCGGAAGAGUGUCUGGAAUGUCUUUGACUUUGUUGUUACCAUGUUGUGCAGGCACUGAUGAACUUGGAAGACAA
rnacentral:lncRNA from 1 species